rnacentral:rRNA from 1 species
GAUGAACGCUAGCGGGAGGCUUAACACAUGCAAGUCGAGGGGUAAAUGGUAGCAAUACUAUGAGACCGGCGGACGGGUGCGUAACGCGUAUGCAACAUACCUUGUGCGGGGGGAUAGCCCGUGGAAACGCGGAUUAAUAUUCCAUAGUCCAGCUAUAUCGCAUGGUAUAGUUGGUAAAGAUUUAUCGGCACAAGUUUGGCAUGCGUCUGAUUAGCUUGUUGGUAGGGUAACGGCCUACCAAGGCUACGAUCAGUAGGGGUUCUGAGAGGAUUAACCCCCACACUGGUACUGAGACACGGACCAGACUCCUACGGGAGGCAGCAGUGAGGAAUAUUGGUCAAUGGGCGGAAGCCUGAACCAGCCAUCCCGCGUGAAGGAAGACAGCCUUACGGGUUGUAAACUUCUUUUCUGUCAGAAGAAUAAGCUUGUCGAGACGAGUGAUGCCGGUAUGACAGGAAUAAGCAUCGGCUAACUCCGUGCCAGCAGCCGCGGUAA